rnacentral:rRNA from 1 species
CUUGUCAUUUAGAGAAGUAAAAGUCGUAACAAGGUUUCCCGUAGGUGAACCUGCGGAAGGAUCAUU